UCGAGCGGUAGAGAGAAGCUUGCUUCUCUUGAGAGCGGCGGACGGGUGAGUAAUGCCUAGGAAUCUGCCUGGUAGUGGGGGAUAACGUCCGGAAACGGACGCUAAUACCGCAUACGUCCUACGGGAGAAAGCAGGGGACCUUCGGGCCUUGCGCUAUCAGAUGAGCCUAGGUCGGAUUAGCUAGUUGGUGGGGUAAUGGCUCACCAAGGCGACGAUCCGUAACUGGUCUGAGAGGAUGAUCAGUCACACUGGAACUGAGACACGGUCCAGACUCCUACGGGAGGCAGCAGUGGGGAAUAUUGGACAAUGGGCGAAAGCCUGAUCCAGCCAUGCCGCGUGUGUGAAGAAGGUCUUCGGAUUGUAAAGCACUUUAAGUUGGGAGGAAGGGCAGUAAAUUAAUACUUUGCUGUUUUGACGUUACCGACAGAAUAAGCACCGGCUAACUCUGUGCCAGCAGCCGCGGUAAUACAGAGGGUGCAAGCGUUAAUCGGAAUUACUGGGCGUAAAGCGCGCGUAGGUGGUUCGUUAAGUUGGAUGUGAAAUCCCCGGGCUCAACCUGGGAACUGCAUUCAAAACUGACGAGCUAGAGUAUGGUAGAGGGUGGUGGAAUUUCCUGUGUAGCGGUGAAAUGCGUAGAUAUAGGAAGGAACACCAGUGGCGAAGGCGACCACCUGGACUGAUACUGACANUGAGGUGCGAAAGCGUGGGGAGCAAACAGGAUUNGAUACCCUGGUA
rnacentral:rRNA from 1 species